rnacentral:rRNA from 1 species
UACGAAGGUGGCAAGCGUUGUUCGGAUUUACUGGGCGUACAGGGAGCGUAGGCGGUUGGAUAAGCCCCUCCGUGAAAUCUCCAGGCUUAACCUGGAAAGUGCAGAGGGGACUGUUCAGCUAGAGGAUGGGAGAGGAGCGCGGAAUUCCCGGUGUAGCGGUGAAAUGCGUAGAGAUCGGGGAGGAAGGCCGGUGGCGAAGGCGGCGCUCUGGAACAUUUCUGACGCUGAGGCUCGAAAGCGUGGGGAGCAAACAGG